AAAAAGAUGAACAGAAUGGAGUAAAUAAAGGACGCUGAAAUAAAAGGAUUCUAAGGAGGAGAUGUAAAAGUCAGCAUUAGCUGGGACUUCAGAACAAAUGAAACCAAGGGAAACUAGGAGGGUCAGACGUCCCAGCUGUGUUCUGUUGGGACAAGCUCUGUUCACGGCAGGGGCUCUCUCAGGAGGAAGCUGAAGCCGCUCAGACUCGCUGUGGAGUGGGGAGAACUCCCAGGAACGAAAACGGGAGCUUUGAGACUCCUGUUGAGGGGGAAUCGCUGUGUGUAGACCAAGCAGGGGGCGGGGACUGCGCUGCUUCCGGGGCAUGUUCCUGGGAUGGACCGGAACAGAUCCAGCCCCUGACACCUGCGCUUCUGCUGACGCGCAGACGGCAAAGCACCGCCAAAGCAGCCCGAGCUGCAUCCAGGGACCCUGGAGCCCUGGGUGGCCUCAGCAGAAAGAGCUCAUUUCUCAGGGACUUAAAUGUCCUUAUUGAAAACAAUCAGAAGCUUCAGAGAUUUUAAAUAAAUAUCACUAAUUUAUUCAAUGGAAUCCUGUAAGUCCUGAGAUGAUCAGUAAACACGGAGAUGACAUCACACUGCUGAAAGACCAAGGAAAGCCGUGUCUCUAGGAGGUCCCGCCGGCCCCCCAGCAUCUUCCCCUCUGAGACCCUUUCCCAUCUGUGCUUCCAGGCCCAGGUGGUGCCAGAACUCAAGGCAACGCUCCUACAGGCCUGACCUCCCAACACCAACCUUCAGGACGGGAGCUUCCCACAGCUCCCCAGGUCCGGCUUCGGCGCUAAGUAGAGCUUUAAAUCCUAGGGAUCAGCAGGUAGACGAACAUCCCUUGGUGCGCUAGAGCUGGCUGGGGUGGCUCAGGAGACCCCACAGCGAAAUAUUCAGGAGUAUCCACACCACAGAAACAGGCCAACACUGC
rnacentral:lncRNA from 1 species